UGUCCUUCGGUGUCUCUGCUGGU
rnacentral:miRNA from 1 species